UGGGGAAUAUUGGACAAUGGGGGGAACCCUGAUCCAGCCAUGCCGCGUGUGUGAAGAAGGCCUUAUGGUUGUAAAGCACUUUAAGCGAGGAGGAGGGUACUGGUAUUAAUACUACCAGCUACUGGACGUUACUCGCAGAAUAAGCACCGGCUAACUCUGUGCCAGCAGCCGCGGUAAUACAGAGGGUGCGAGCGUUAAUCGGAUUUGCUGGGCGUAAAGCGUGCGUAGGCGGCUAAUUGAGUCGGAUGUGAAAUCCCCGAGCUUAACUUGGGAAUUGCAUUCGAUACUGGUUAGCUAGAGUGUGGGAGAGGAUGGUAGAAUUCCAGGUGUAGCGGUGAAAUGCGUAGAGAUCUGGAGGAAUACCGAUGGCGAAGGCAGCCAUCUGGCCUAACACUGACGCUGAGGUACGAAAGCAUGGGGAGCAAACAGG
rnacentral:rRNA from 1 species